UGGUGUGAGCGAUGGAAUGGUGCCCGCGUUCGGUGAACGGGAAGUCCGUGCAAUUCGGAGACGUGCCCAACGCUGUGAUGGAGAUGGUCGCGCACAGGCCACUGGGAAACCGGGAAGGCGCGCAAACCAGUUGAUCCUAAGUCAGAAGACCGGCCGGACAAAAACGGUUCUU
rnacentral:ncRNA from 2 species